GGCCAGAGCUGUGCUCCUUAUUAUCCCUCUCCUGGGACGGGACGAAGCUGCCUCCCCCAGGAGGCCUUGCAGCUCCUGUGGUGGCUCACUGGUGGCUCACUGGCCGAUUUGGUGUUCCUCUGCUUCCGGUGGGACCAGCUCGGUGGCGCAGUUGGUGCUCUGCUCUGGGGCUCUCCUGGGAGGCAGGCUGAGGGGCUCUCCAGGAGAGGCCUUGUCCUCGUCCCCUGUUCUGCCCUGUCCUGCUUCCCUUCCUCUUCCUCUAGGAAGUGCUAUAGCACUCUGUUGUCCCCUGUUCCUGAAUCCCUGUCUCAGGUUGUGCUUCUUGGGACGCUUCUCUGAAGACAGAGCCUCAUCACAGGAUGAGGCCCCAGUGACCUGUGAUGGUCCAGCUUUAACCCCCUGGGAGUCACCCAGAGAGCCUGGGAACUCCGGAGAGUCAGUCUGGGGUGGAGCCCAGGAGCUGGCAUUAACAGACUCCCAGAGCUGCUGCUGCUGGUCCCAGGACCACGCCUUGAGACUGGCUGGCCUGAGCUCGUGGGUGGGUGGGCUCUCCUUGGGUCUGGGCAGGACUGACCGCCUGAGGGCAGGUGGACUAGGAGAGGUUUGGGGAAGCGAGUUUCCAUGUGGGGUUUUUGAGGUUGGGCAAGGAAGUGAAGGGGUCUGUGUGGUGGGCUGGGGAUUGGGAGGUGUGACUUCAAAGGCGGAUUCCUGAGCCCUACCCCUUGACCUGUGUCUAAGCCUCUAGAAGGGAACAGCUGUGGACAGAACUCCAAAGAGCUGUUUAUCUGGAAGUCUGUGGGAAAGAGGAGUCCCCAACACCACUCUACCAGGCACGAGAGACACAGCUGGACUCAGAAGAGAGAAGGGGGUACUGUCACGUGUGCCUGUGCACACUCUUGCACCCGCAGCAGGCACAGGUGAGCCCCUGUGUGUGCAGAUGUGCACGCACACAGAUGUGGUCACAGUUUCUUGGGUGUCUUCUGCUUUCCCGGGCAAGACAGGCCACCACCAGCAGCAGUUUCCAAUACAACAUCCAACACUCACCUGGGCCUGGAUUUGGUUGGAAACCUUCACUCCAUGGUGCAGGAACCUAUCCUUGUAAGAUGUCUCUCAUCUCCUCACUGUGGUUCCUGCCUCGCUGUCCUGCCCUGUGACGUCCUUCUGCAGCCCCUUCCUCUCUGCCCCUUCUGUGUGGGCCACGCAGAGCGGAGCCUAGCACCACCUCUGCUUUUGCUGCUCUCUUUGCCUCCGUGAGCAGGUGCUUCGUGACUGUAGGUACCCUACCUGACGGACAGGGGAUCUGAGUUCUCGCUGGAGCCUCUGCCUCUCAGCAUGCCUGGCUUGGGCUGCGCUGUGCCGUCUGCCAGCAGGUGGCAGGAUGCCCAUCCUGUUCACAUCACCGACAGGUUCCAGAACAUUCCACCCUCACUCUGUCUGAGAUGCUGCUCUAUUAGACAUUCUCUGGUUUCCUCCUCAUGGCAGUCCCGCUCCUCUCCGCUCCUCUCCCGGCCUCCGUGGUACCUGCUGGAACCAGUUCAACCCGUGUUUGCAUCUGCAGGUGUGAACGGAGCCCACCCAGCCCCUUGGCCAGGUGGAGUCCUGACCCUGGCAGCUGGAGUGGUGCUGCAGACAGGUGCCUCCCUCUGGAUGGUGACAGCAGCUCUCGCUGCAGGGAGCUGCCCUCUGGGGAGGCCCCAGCCACUGGGUGUCUCAUAGAGGGCACAAAAGGCCAGCACCUGAGGCGAGGGCACUGGGCCUGGGUUUCACCCCAGACCUCCCUGGGCAUUCCCCAGGCCCACACCCUGGCUGAGCGCCUUCCCUUGUCCUGUUCUGCCCCUGGCCUGGCCUUCCCCAGGAAGCUCUCCCUCAGUGUGUGCUGGUCUCUGAAUCCUCGCUCAGACUCCAAGGACCCCAGCAAGAUGGUGUGCCUGGAGCAAGCGGCUGUGUGUGUGUGAGUGUGACCUCCCUGAGGAGCUCUACGCACGCACGCUCCCCUUGGUUGCCACGCACUGGCAUCUGGCACCUCUCCCCGUGCCCUGCACCAACCCAGCCUACCUCUGCCAUCUGUGUCAUCUGGGGGCAGCCAUUUCUCCAGUGAUAACAGGUUGCCUCGUCCUCGGUGAGACACAGACAAGACCUCAGUGGGCGUCCUUGUACGUGGCCCCUGGGCCUGGAGUGACAGUCCAGAGUGGAACCUAAAUCAGGGCUGCGUGAGUUCUGGGGCGGCUCCCUCCUUCACAGGCCCCGCCCCCUCUGUAUCCCCUCCCAAGCCCCACCCUGAGGUUGGUUUUCCACCACGGUUCUGCUCUUUUCUCCACACCAGCAGCUUUCAGCAUCUCUGUGUGUACUUGCUGGCUGCUGCCCCUUUUGCUAACCACUUACUGUUUUUUUUUUUUAAAUAAUUUACAAAACUUCUUUGUUUAUUCUAGACAUUGAUCCCUUGUUGUUUUAUACAGUGAAAAUAACUUCUUAGAGUGGACCAUCUGUCUCCUUUCCUUGUUUAUGGCUUCCUUCAUUGAGGGGAAAUCCUUAAGAGUGACUGCCGUAUGCUCUCACUGUCACAUGGGGAUUCUGAUGAAAUAGCUUAUUUAUAUUUUGCUUGGCUUUUGUCACAGUCCCCCAAUCAGGACACAGGCAUGAGUCCCCAGGGGGCUGUGUCAAAGGACAAAAUCAUGCUGCCCUUUUUACUGACCCAUAAGACCCUACUUCUGCACCCUGGGCAGCUCUUCUGUGAUCUUGAUUCUCUUCUGAGCUUUCCAGGCCCUCCUGCGCUGUGAGCACGGAUGGGUCCUCCCCCUGAACCCUGGAGGCCCCUUCGUUAGCCUGCUGAGCUGGCCCGGCACCGCAGCGAGAGCAGCGGAGGGCCAAGCACUGGCAGCCCACCUCACAGGGACUUCUGGGCUUCCAGUGUCUCAGUACGUCCCCAGUCAGGCUCGCUGCUCUUAAGUGAGCAAACGACAUGGGAGCUAAUGCCCAGAUGGACGGACACUGUGCUGUAUGGCAGAUCUGUUUCCUGAGGGCCAAGAAGCAGAGUUGAUUUAGUGGGUCCUUUGGAGGUCCCUGGGGGUUUACAUUGGGGAACUGGCCCUCCACGUUGGCUGUUUGUGUUCCAAGGAGGGAGAAUUGAAGGAUGGCCUUGGUUUCCCACGAGGAUGACUGUGAGGAGCCCACAGAGUGGUUUCUCAAGGUGGUGGGCGCAGAUCCCCGACUGGCAUUGCCACCAAGCCUGGCAUCUCUCAGCCUGGACUGCUGCCUGGAUGAGACUCUGCGGGCUUUUUCUGUAGAGCCAGAGUGUAAACACUUCAGGUUUUGCUGGUCAUCUGCUCUCUGCCACAACUCCUCUACUCGGCCAGCAUAGUGCAAAAUCAGCCAGAAACAGUGUGUGCAUGGGCCAGGUUUCAAUAAAGCUUUAUUGAUACAAACAGACCAGAUUCGGUCUGUGGGUUACAGAUGGCCAAACCCUGACCUCUGUUGACCCCUGUGCGUAUGGUGGGGCCAUGUGCUGCUACUUUCAAAGGGGUUUUGAUGUUCCCUAGUUGCUUUGGAAUGGCUUGAGGAAGACUGAGAUCACAAAAACUAGGUGUAGCAGGAUUCCAAUAAUAUCUGUGACAUAAGGAUUCUAUCUAAUACAUAAUGGAGAACCCAGGGCAAGAUUUAAAGUGGGAAGGGGUGUGGGAAGCUUCCCAGAGUGGAAUUAGUUUUGAUUCAGACCAGCCUGGGCCCAUAGCCCAGGGCUGGCUCCACCGUCACCAACUCAGGUAAGAUUUUCAUCACUUCCAGUUGGGCCUAGUUGGUCAGAGGGCACAGAAGCUGUUCCUAUGUCUCCAGGGUCUUUACGGACACCAGUGUGAAUGAGAGAGGGUCGAACACUAGACCAGAGGGUCAGUGACUUGUGGCCACAGGUCCAAUUCAGUCCACUCCUAUUUGUGUAAGUAGGUUUAUUUGGAACACAGCUGUUCCAAAACAAAAAAACCAAAAAACUCAUGUCAUGCCAACAAAAUACCCAAGAUUGGGUGAUUUAUAAAACCAAAAAUUCAUUUAUCAUAGAAAUUCAAGGAGCCAGUACUGGGCAUCUGAUGAGGGUCUCCUGUUGCCUGCUAUGUGAAGGAGAAGGUGGACAGGCGGGGACAGGCCCUGCAUCCUCACAUGGCUCUUAGAGAAGGGCCAGCUGGUCCAACGAUGCAGGGAGCCUUUUAUAAGUCCUACCCAUGAGGAGGGCCUGGUGGCCCAGUCACCCACAGAGGCCCCACCCCUGCUAUCAUCACACUGGCAGCUCUUGAUGUUUGGAGGGGACUCACAGCAACAGCGAUGGCCCUCUGUUCGUGCACUGCCUCUAGAUGCCUUUGGUGGCACUGGCAGGGUGGAGCAGUUGUGCAGACACAGCACGGUCCUCAAAGCCUACAGUGUUUGCUGUGCAACCUUUUGCAGAAACAUUUGAUGACCCUGCUUCAGAGCCCUAGGGAAGGAAGGGGUGUCAUCUGCUUAGGGAGUGUCCCACUUCACCUUUGCACCCUCCUCCUUUUUGCUGCCUGGAAAAUAAGUGUCACCUGGAACAUUAGUGUAAUUACUGAUUUCUAGCAACCUACAGUAAGGAGAGGGAAAAAAGAGGUAGGACUGGAAAGAGCCCGAAUCUCUGAGGAUUGUGCAAUUUCCCUCCUCUGUGAGACUUUUAAAAAAAUCCCACCAUCUUGCUUAUGUCGUUGUGUGGGAUUUCUGUUACUUGCAGUUGAACUGAAUCCUAACAUACCCUCCUUCCACCAAGGUGACAUCCUUGGAGUAACAGAAGGUGGAGCAGUGGGUGUGAAGGAGGUGCAGAAGAGCCACCUCCUCCCUGCCUUGCUGCAAGUUGGAAGGGCCACACCGCAGAUCCAGGGACCAGAAAGCACAGGAUGUGGCAUCCACCACAGCAGCCUAGUGCUGAGCUCUACCAGAGCCAAAGCCUCCGUGCAAGUCGCCCCUCUUUUGGGUUCAGUCAGUCAGUUCUAGUUAAAGAAUUUCUUGAGAAGCCUUACCAGCAACUUCUGCUUUACCUUGUUAUGAGUUGGACUGUAUGUCCCCGAAAAAGCUAUGCAGAUGUCCCAGUCCCCCAGUGUCUCAGAAAUAGGGCCAAGGCAGGUGUGUGUAGUUAAGGGAGGUCACCCUGAUGUAGGGAUAGACCUGAUCUAGUGUGACCAGUGUUCUUACGAGAAGGCAGCCAUGUGAAGACAGAGACACCCUAAAGCACCACACCCCAGUGGGGAUGGACAGGAGUGGGGUGCUGCCAGCUAGGAAAUGCCAAAGACAGCUGGCCACCAACAGCAGCUGGAAGAGACAGGGAGCGUCCCCACACAGGUCCACCAGGGACCACGGCCUGCCAACGCAUUGGUCAGGGACUUCCAGCCUCCAGAACCACAAGACAGUACAAUUCUGUGUUUUAAGCCACAACAUUGUUAUGGGUCCCUAUGAGUCACCCCAGGGGCCACGUGCAUCACAGGGAGACCGAGGAGUGUCAUUUCCGCCCAUCUCUGCGGUAUGGUGGAACAGGAGGUGGGUGGGGCAGGGCAGCCUCUGCUGCCGAUGUUCUGGGGCACCUGUGCCCUGAGAAAUGGCUGGCAAGGGUCGAUUUUACUGUGGUCUUUCCCUUUAGGACAGACGUUAUUCUCAUCCUUUUGCAAGUCAUGAACCCUGAGUUUACUUCCAGGCCUUCCUCAUAUCUAUUGUGUUUCAUGAAAAAGAGGGCGGACCCUAACCUUUCAUGCCUCAUGUUCAUAGCCUUCAAAUGACUCUCAGUUGCCCAGGAGGGACACCGCCUUAGCUCCCCAGGGAUGCCGACAGGCUACCCGAGGCAUUGAGCUCAAGGAUGGUUUCUAUAAGUCGGGCAUCAGAGGCAGCAGAGAAGACCCUCCUGCAGCUCAUCUCAACUGAGAUGGACAAUGAGAUGUGAUGACAUCACCUGUUGGGCUGAUGAUUAUGACUGAUUCAAGUAGAUGUCAGUUUUGUCCUCUAGAAAUUCAAGCCCUGAAGAAAAGCAACACUUACAGAGAGGGAAGGGGUAGGUUGACAUCUACAUAAAUAUUGACAGAAAAGGAAAACAGUGAGAAACACGGUCUCACAGAAAAGAGGAGACAGAAGGCAGCCCAUUGGAGUGGAGAUUCCCAAGUAAACCCCAACAUCCACAGAGUGUACCCACAGCAGAUAUGGCUGCUAGCUAAUUAUCUUGACAAUGAGGAAAGGCCUCUUCCCAAGGCUCUUGAUGGAUGAUGUGCUGUUUUUCCAAAUGCUAGCUAUGACUGACCCGGUCCUUGAAUCAGAGAACAAGCCUUCAACCAAAGAAGCUGUUGGAAGAGGAGGGACCCAGACCAGCCCCUCGGGGCUGCUCAAAGACACACUGUCUGCAUAGUACUGAGGGUUGAACCCAGGGCUUUGCGAAUGCCCGGCAAGUGCUCUGCUCCUCGGCUGCAUCCCAGGCCUAGAUUUUCGUACUGAGGGGAAUGUGCAACCUGGAGUCCCAGUUUUGAGGCAGACCUGGCUGUUCAUGAUCUUCAGCUACAGACUCAGCACAGAGUGCCCGCAGUGCCCCUUGAGGUGUGUCAAGGACGGCUUCAGUUCCUCAGCGAGGAUUUCCAUGGGGGCAGGAAUGUUUGUCUGGUCCUCAGUUACCUAAGACAUAUGAAGGGAGUUUCUGGAGUGGGAUAAACUGAGGGUGGGAGUGGACCUACCCUGAGGAAAACAUCUUUGUUUCAAGGAGAGAUUCUGCAAGAAAGGGAAGAAGAGAACCUCCCCGGACCCCGACAGGUCAUGGCCACCAUGCCCCAUACUUCACAAGCACUUUCUCACGUGAAUCCUUGCAGCAGUCCUUAUAAAAUAGGUAUGAUUCCCAUGGGUUGGUGGAGAAGACUCAGAGAAGAUAAGUGUCUUAUGACUGUCAACCAAGAAUAAGAUCAGUCUCGUCAACAGCAAAGAGUAUCACAUUCAUUUGGGUCUAAUUAGGAUUGCAGUCUGGGAAAACACAGAUUCAAGCAAUUUUGAAAAGAUCCUCCAAGAUUUUACAAAACAGUGGCUGUAUUUGCAGCUUUAAACCUCAAGGGGGUUCUGAGGUUAUGUCACUUGUUGGUCAGGAGCUAUGAUUGUAUGGAUUAAGCUGUCUUUAAAGAAAGGGAUUGUGUGUGCUCUCAGUUGCUGUGUGGUCUGGGGAAAAGCUCCUUGUACAGAAGGUCAGCAGAAGUUAAUACACAAUGUUUCAGAAAACUGCUCUUUGGUCCAGUUUGAAGAUCUGUGAAUAACACAUGUGUAUAUGUGUGCCUGGAACACAGCUCAAAGGUCAGCUGCAGACAUUGUCCUAGACCAGAUUUAACAAAUGCCUUAUAACUCUAUUUUAAGUGCCCCGAACCAUUGCUACUCCAUUUUGAUUUUCUUUUGUGCCAUUUUUCCAUUACUGUGUCAAAAUACCUGAGAUAAUAAACUUAAAAGGAGGAAAGUUUUA